rnacentral:rRNA from 1 species
GUGACAGGUGGUGCAUGGUUGUCGUCAGCUCGUGUCGUGAGAUGUUGGGUUAAGUCCCGCAACGAGCGCAACCCUUGAACUUAGUUGCCAUCAUUCAGUUGGGCACUCUAAGUUGACUGCCGGUGACAAACCGGAGGAAGGUGGGGAUGACGUCAAAUCAUCAUGCCCCUUAUGAUUUGGGCUACACACGUGCUACAAUGGACAAUACAAAGGGCAGCGAAACCGCGAGGUCAAGCAAAUCCCAUAAAGUUGUUCUCAGUUCGGAUUGUAGUCUGCAACUCGACUACAUGAAGCUGGAAUCGCUAGUAAUCGUAGAUCAGCAUGCUACGGUGAAUACGUUCCCGGGUCUUGUACACACCGCCCGUCACACCACGAGAGUUUGUAACACCCGAAGCCGGUGGAGUAACCAUUUUGGAGCUAGCCGUCGAAGGUGGGACAAAUGAUUGGGGUGAAGUCGUAACAAGGUAGCCGUAUCGGAAGGUGCGGCUGGAUCACCUCCUUUCUA